rnacentral:rRNA from 1 species
GAUGAACGCUGGCGGCGUGCCUAAUACAUGCAAGUCGAGCGAACGGACGAGAAGCUUGCUUCUCUGAUGUUAGCGGCGGACGGGUGAGUAACACGUGGAUAACCUACCUAUAAGACUGGGAUAACUUCGGGAAACCGGAGCUAAUACCGGAUGAUAUUUUGAACCGCAUGGUUCAAAAGUGAAAGACGGUCUUGCUGUCACUUAUAGAUGGAUCCGCGCUGCAUUAGCUAGUUGGUAAGGUAACGGCUUACCAAGGCAACGAUGCAUAGCCGACCUGAGAGGGUGGUAGGCCACACUGGAGCUGGGACGCGGUCCAGACGCCUACGGGAGGCAGCAGUAGGGAACCUGCCGCAAUGGGCGAAAGCCUGACGGAGCAACGCCGCGUGAGAGAUGAAGGUCUUCGGAUCGUAAAACUCUGUUAUUAGGGAAGAACAUAUGUGUAAGUAACUGUGCACAUCUUGACGGUACCUAAUCAGAAAGCCACGGCUAACUACGUG